CGUAGGAUGCGAGCGUUGUCCGGAUUUAUUGGGCGUAAAGAGUUCGUAGGCGGUUCGUUAAGUUUGAUGUUAAAGAUCAAGGCUCAACCUUGGGAUUGCAUUGAAUACUGGCGGACUUGAGUGCAGUAGAGGCGAGUGGAAUUCUCAGUGUAGCGGUGAAAUGCGUAGAUAUUGGGAAGAACACCGGUGGCGCAGGCGACUCGCUGGGCUGUAACUGACGCUGAGGAACGAAAGCUAGGGGAGCAAAUGGGAUUAGAUACCCCAGUAGUCCUAGCUGUAAACGAUGGAUACUAGGCGUAGCAGGUAUCGACCCCUGCUGUGCCGUAGCUAACGCGAUAAGUAUCCCGCCUGAGUAGUACGGCCGCAAGGUUG
rnacentral:rRNA from 1 species